AGCCACUGUCACUGGGAAAGAAACGGAUAGACCUCAAAGCUCAUGAGAAUAGGAAUCGAAUUCAAUUAAUUUCCCUAAUUCCUAACCCUAACUGUGAAAAUCAUCUCGAUGCCGAUCGCCUCUACCUCAAUCUUCCGCUACAGCAAUCCUUCCUCACUCCUCCUCCUCCGCCGUGGCGCUGCUGCCUCUUUCCGCCACCUCUCCUUUGUCGCCAAACACCAAAACCCCAUCUCCAGAAAACCUCAAAACAAGAAUCUCCUCCGAGCAAAACAGACAGUCAAGCACCUCUCCUCCCUCUCGCCGACGCUCCCGGUGAACCAUCGCCCCCUCCUGUCCGCCACUGAUGCCGUCGGCAUGGUUGCUGCUGCCCAAGCAAACUUCAUGCGAGUCAUAGUCGAAGAUUCUAGAGUCGCAGACGGCGGCGGCGACGGAGAUGGCGAUGGCGAUGCCGUCAGGGUUGGGGUUGAGCUGCUGUGUGUGGUGAGAGCCGUGUUGAAGAAGAUCAAGAGGAGGGUUUUGGUGGGAGAUAAGGUGUUGGUUGGAUCGAUAGAUUGGGUGGAUCGCCGGGGCGUGAUUGAGAAUGUGUUCUCGAGGAAAUCGGAGAUUCUGGACCCUCCAGUGGCCAAUGUGGAUCACCUGUUGGUGCUUUUCGCGAUGGAGCAGCCAAAAUUGGAGGUGUAUUCGCUUACUCGGUUUUUGGUGGAGGCUGAGUCCACUGGGAUUCCGAUCACACUCGCAUUGAACAAAUCGGAACUCGUCGACGAAGAGACACGAGUUGCUUGGAAAUCAAGGCUCCGAAGUUGGGGCUAUGGGCCAGUUUUUUGCAGUGUUGAAUCCAAGUUUGGACUUGAUACUCUUGCAUUCAGCUUGAGAGAACAAACAACUGUGAUUGUAGGUCCAAGUGGAGUAGGGAAGUCUAGUCUCAUAAAUGCUUUGAGAAGCAACCACCCUCUUAUUAAUGUUUCUUCUGAAGAGAACAAUUGGUUUGAUUCUAUUUUAGGGAGCAAAUUGUUAGAAGAACAGCGUGUUGGGGAAGUGUCAGUAAGAAGUGGGAGAGGGAAGCACACUACUCGCCAUGUAUCCUUACUUCCGCUAUCUGGAGGGGGAUAUCUUGCUGAUACUCCUGGGUUUAACCAACCAAGCUUGCUGAAAGUAACAACUCAAUCUCUUGCACAGACUUUCCCAGAGAUCAGGAAAUUGCUCAGUGCUAAUGAACCUGAAAAAUGCUCAUUCAAUGAUUGCUUGCAUCUUGGUGAGCCAGGGUGCGUUGUGAAAGGAGAUUGGGAAAGAUAUCCAUACUAUUUUCAACUGCUUGAUGAGAUAAAAAUCAGAGAAGAAUUUCAGUUGAGGACCCUGGGAACCAAAAGAGAGGGUGAUGUGAGGUACAAGACAGGUGAUAUGGGUGUCAAGCAAGCAGAACCACGACUUGAGCCUAAGAAGCACAGAAGACAAUCUCGCAAGAGGAUGAACCAGUCCAUCCUAGACGAGUUGGACGACCUUGAUGAUGAUGAUAGCUUAUUAGAUGCUGAAGGUGACUCGAUUUUAAAUGAAAUAGGCAAUGAAAAUCAGUAGGGAGCAUGCUUGGCUCGUUCAUAUGCUGUGAACAGUUCUUGACCAGCUCUUUUGUUAUAAAUCAUGAAGAGGUCACAAGCACAUGGCUAAAAGUGGAGUUCCAAGUCUUUUCUGCUGCUGUGAAUGUGAAUGUCUAGGAUCACAGUAGCUAACAACUUGAGGCGUGACUCAGAAAAACAAUGUCAAUGUUUUCUGUCAUGCUUGAUCCUUGUGAUGGAGGAACUUUUGUAAGACAUUUUGUGGCCUAUUGGAGUCGAGUGAGAGCAGUGACACCACCUGCGAGAUCAAGGGAGGAUUGAAAAGUUUAUCUUUCACAAGGGUAGGAGCCUUUACUGAUUCAGUCACACCAUCACAGCUACUAUCACUUAAGAAUGUGUAUUCAUCCCAGAGCUCCUGGGCAAAGAAAGUCAAGCAGGAGUGGAUCCUUAUUCAAUUGUAAGUGGUGCUCUUGAGUCUUGAUUCAAUUCCACCAAACCUGAAAACAGUUCCAUAGGAGCUUGCAUUUGAGGACUUCUCUUUGUAUAUGAUGUCACUUCUUUCCCCUGAUUUUAGUACAGUUCUGAGCCUGGGUUCUAUCUCUAAAA